rnacentral:rRNA from 1 species
CGGGGGGGCAAGCGUUGUUCGGAAUUACUGGGCGUAAAGGGCUCGUAGGCGGCCAACUAAGUCGGACGUGAAAUCCCUCGGCUUAACCGGGGAACUGCGUCCGAUACUGGAUGGCUUGAGUUUGGGAGAGGGAUGCGGAAUUCCAGGUGUAGCGGUGAAAUGCGUAGAUAUCUGGAGGAACACCGGUGGCGAAGGCGGCAUCCUGGACCAACACUGACGCUGAUGAGCGAAAGCCAGGGGAGCAAACGGGACUAGAUACCCCGGUAGUCCUGGCCCUAAACGAUGAAUGCUUGGUGUGACGGGUAUCGAUCCCUGUCGUGCCGAAGCUAACGCAUUAAGCAUUCCGCCUGGGGAGUACGGUCGCAAGGCUG